UGGGGAAUAUUGCACAAUGGGCGCAAGCCUGAUGCAGCCAUGCCGCGUGUAUGAAGAAGGCCUUCGGGUUGUAAAGUACUUUCAGUCGGGAGGAAGGUGGUAAGGUUAAUAACCUUAUCAAUUGACGUUACCGACAGAAGAAGCACCGGCUAACUCCGUGCCAGCAGCCGCGGUAAUACGGAGGGUGCAAGCGUUAAUCGGAAUUACUGGGGGUAAAGCGCACGCAGGCGGUUUGUUAAGUCAGAUGUGAAAUCCCCGGGCUCAACCUGGGAACUGCAUCUGAUACUGGCAAGCUUGAGUCUCGUAGAGGGGGGUAGAAUUCCAGGUGUAGCGGUGAAAUGCGUAGAGAUCUGGAGGAAUACCGGUGGCGAAGGCGGCCCCCUGGACGAAGACUGACGCUCAGGUGCGAAAGCGUGGGGAGCAAACAGG
rnacentral:rRNA from 1 species